AUACGGAGGAUCCGAGCGUUAUCCGGAUUUAUUGGGUUUAAAGGGUGCGCAGGCGGCCAUUUAAGUCAGCGGUUAAAUCGUGGGGCUCAACCCCAUUCUGCCGUUGAUACUGGGUGGCUUGAUUGCGGUCGAGGUUGGCGGAAUCCGUUGUGUAGCGGUGAAAUGCAUAGAUAUGACGAAGAACACCGAUUGCGUAGGCAGCUGACCAGACCGCAAAUGACGCUCAUGCACGAAAGUGCGGGGAUCGAACAGGAUUAGAUACCCUGGUAGUCCGCACAGUAAACGAUGAAUACUUGUUUUCGGCGAUAUAAUGUCGGAGGCAAAGCGAAAGCGAUAAGUAUUCCACCUGGGGAGUACGCCGGCAACGGUGAAACUCAAAGGAAUUGACGGGG
rnacentral:rRNA from 1 species